CAGACCUUCCUCCAUAGGUAUAGGAAGGAGCUUGUAAAAGCUGUUGACCUUCAGCAGCACAUUAUAUACUGUAUAAAAGCUACAAACAGAUGUAGAACACUGCAGGAUCAGAAAAGGAUGGAGAAAAAGGAAAUGUAUUUCACUGCCUUCAAUUUUUUAUGUAUUUCUUUGAACUGUGUUUGAAACGUGUUUCUUGUAUUAAGUCGGUGGGAUCCAGUGUUGUUUUGACCCCAGUGUUCUUCAAAAUGUGUUCCACAGAAAAAAACCGACAGGGACGGAACAACAUGACGUCUCACCCAGGUGCACACUGGUACUGGAUGGUGGAUCCUACGGUGGCAUUGCCCUGCACGGAGAGCAGAUCAUCAUCAUCAGGCAAAGAACAGGACACCUCAGGCACCAGAACUGGCUCUGCUGCAAGACCUCCUCCUGGGGAGGCUGA